rnacentral:rRNA from 1 species
AUUGAACGCUGGCGGCAUGCCUUACACAUGCAAGUCGAACGGCAGCACGGGAGCAAUCCUGGUGGCGAGUGGCGAACGGGUGAGUAAUAUAUCGGAACGUGCCCAGUCGUGGGGAUAACGUAGCGAAAGCUACGCUAAUACCGCAUACGAUCUAUGGAUGAAAGCGGGGGAUCGCAAGACCUCGCGCGAUUGGAGCGGCCGAUAUCAGAUUAGGUAGUUGGUGAGGUAAAGGCUCACCAAGCCGACGAUCUGUAGCUGGUCUGAGAGGACGACCAGCCACACUGGGACUGAGACACGGCCCAGACUCCUACGGGAGGCAGCAGUGGGGAAUUUUUGGACAAUGGGCGCAAGCCUGAUCCAGCAAUGCCGCGUGCAGGAUGAAGGCCUC